rnacentral:rRNA from 1 species
GACCUCGGAUCAGGUAGGGAUACCCGCUGAACUUAAGCAUAUCAAUAAGCGGAGGAAAAGAAACCAACAGGGAUUGCCUCAGUAACGGCGAGUGAAGCGGCAACAGCUCAAAUUUGAAAUCUGGCUCUUUCAGGGUCCGAGUUGUAAUUUGUAGAAGAUGCUUUGAGUGUGGCUCCGGUCUAAGUUCCUUGGAACAGGACGUCAUAGAGGGUGAGAAUCCCGUACGUGACUGGGUGCCUUCGCUCGUGUAAAGCUCUUUCGACGAGUCGAGUUGUUUGGGAAUGCAGCUCAAAAUGGGUGGUAAAUUUCAUCUAAAGCUAAAUAUUGGCCAGAGACCGAUAGCGCACAAGUAGAGUGAUCGAAAGAUGAAAAGCACUUUGGAAAGAGAGUUAAACAGUACGUGAAAUUGUUGAAAGGGAAGCGC